GUUGCUCAGCAGGGUGGAGUCGCUGCCCUUCCCAUCCACGGACACCGAGUGCUCGCCCUUCUUCACCAGCAGGCAGACGUGGUGGCCCUGGAUGGAGCGGCUGUACAUGGAGGCGCAGGAGUCCACUCGCUCCACCAUAGAAAAGUGGUGGUGAAAACAUAUCUUUGCCAGAAGGUUCUGGAAGGACAUACUGAUGCCAUCGACUCUGACUGAGCUCAUGCUCAGGUCCCCAGACCCCAGCAGCUUGGCAAAGGCAUCACUGUAGCAGGUUCUGUGUCUUACCCUGGCAGUUCUGUGGGUCUCACAGUCAUGCAGCCUGAAGGAAUCGAUCUAUCGUCCAUCUCAUUAUUUUUAUUGGCUUCAUGAUUUCUCCCAGUAGAGGUGCACCAUAAUUCUAGAGAACAAUGGUGAAGUGGAGCAUCUUCCAUAUUUUAAGAACCGUAUAUAUUUCCUUCUUUGUGGACUAUUAAUAUCUUUUGAUGAUGUCAGGGUUUGCAACGGAAUAGAUUUAAUACAGGACACAUAAUUUAUAGGAUUAUUUUAUAAUAUUUACCCAAAAAGUCAAAUGCAGAAGAGCGCAAGAGAUCUGUCCACAUGCUAGAGACCUGAAGAAUCCAGCAGAGGGCCUGGAUCCUGUAAUGUCCUCCACAAGUCCCUCUGGAGGCCCUGAGCCCGCAGCAGUCUCAUGCAAGUCUGUAUCAAGGACCUGCACCGGGAAGGUCCAAAGGCCGGUGGUGGAAGCUAGAAAGUCUGCACUGGCAGCGUGAAGGAUCUGCACUGGAGCCAGGAAGCGAGGCUCGAGGCAAAGAUCAGAGCUCCCUUGAAGAGAAGAAGCAAAGACCUGAGCUCCUCUAACAAGAACAGCUGAGUUCUUAUCAGGGAAACCAGCUAUGGCAAGCUUCUUCAGGAAAAUCAGCAGCAUACAAUCUUCCCUUCCAGUUCUCCUUUCAUGCCAUUGGGAACAAUCCUCAGGUGGGUCUUCAAUGCCCAGAACCAUGCUGACUCAGUUCAGCUGGGCGUUCCCACUUAAACAGACCAUUAGUUAAUCCAUCACAGCCUUCAUCCAUCUUCCUGUUGGGUUAGUCUAUAUUUACAGAACCGAAAGUAUUAAAUACAUUUUAAAUGA